rnacentral:misc_RNA from 1 species
GCGGCAAAAGCUCAAAUUUGAAAUCUGGCUCUUUCAGAGUCCGAGUUGUAAUUUGAAGAAGGUAUCUUUGGGUCUGGCUCUUGUCUAUGUUUCUUGGAACAGAACGUCACAGAGGGUGAGAAUCCCGUGCGAUGAGAUGAUCCAGGCCUAUGUAAAGUUCCUUCGAAGAGUCGAGUUGUUUGGGAAUGCAGCUCUAAGUGGGUGGUAAAUUCCAUCUAAAGCUAAAUAUUGGCGAGAGACCGAUAGCGAACAAGUACAGUGAUGGAAAGAUGAAAAGAACUUUGAAAAGAGAGUGAAAAAGUACGUGAAAUUGUUGAAAGGGAAGGGCUUGAGAUCAGACUUGGUAUUUUGUAUGUUACUUCUUCGGGGGUGGCCUCUACAGUUUAUCGGGCCAGCAUCAGUUUGGGCGGUAGGAGAAUUGCGUUGGAAUGUGGCACGGCUUCGGUUGUGUGUUAUAGCCUUCGUCGAUACUGCCAGCCUAGACUGAGGACUGCGGUUUAUACCUAGGAUGUUGGCAUAAUGAUCUUAAGUCGCCCGUCUU